AUUGAACGCUGGCGGCAGGCCUAACACAUGCAAGUCGAGCGGUAGCACAGGGAGCUUGCUCCUGGGUGACGAGCGGCGGACGGGUGAGUAAUGUCUGGGGAUCUGCCUGAUGGAGGGGGAUAACUACUGGAAACGGUAGCUAAUACCGCAUAACGUCGCAAGACCAAAGAGGGGGACCUUCGGGCCUCUUGCCAUCAGAUGAACCCAGAUGGGAUUAGCUAGUAGGUGGGGUAAUGGCUCACCUAGGCGACGAUCCCUAGCUGGUCUGAGAGGAUGACCAGCCACACUGGAACUGAGACACGGUCCAGACUCCUACGGGAGGCAGCAGUGGGGAAUAUUGCACAAUGGGCGCAAGCCUGAUGCAGCCAUGCCGCGUGUAUGAAGAAGGCCUUCGGGUUGUAAAGUACUUUCAGCGAGGAGGAAGGCAUUAAGGUUAAUAACCUUAGUGAUUGACGUUACUCGCAGAAGAAGCACCGGCUAACUCCGUGCCAGCAGCCGCGGUAAUACGGAGGGUGCAAGCGUUAAUCGGAAUUACUGGGCGUAAAGCGCACGCAGGCGGUUUGUUAAGUCGGAUGUGAAAUCCCCGGGCUCAACCUGGGAACUGCAUUCGAAACUGGCAAGCUUGAGUCUUGUAGAGGGGGGUAGAAUUCCAGGUGUAGCGGUGAAAUGCGUAGAGAUCUGGAGGAAUACCGGUGGCGAAGGCGGCCCCCUGGACAAAGACUGAC
rnacentral:rRNA from 1 species